rnacentral:tRNA from 1 species
GACGUGCCUGAUAAAAAGGGUUACCUUGAUAGAGUAAAUAAUGUAAGAUUAAUAAAUUACCUUCA